rnacentral:rRNA from 1 species
AUCUACAGCCAUACCACCCUGAACGCGCCUGAUCUUGUCUGAUCUCGGAAGCUAAGCAGGGUUGGGCCUGGUUAGUACAUGGAUGGGAGAGCUACAUUAGAAAGAAAGUUAUACUGAAGUAU